rnacentral:lncRNA from 1 species
UUCCAUUUUUAAAGACUUUUCUUUCUUUCUUUUUUUGUAAAAAAGGAAAGACUAUGCUUUCAAAGGAAAUUGCUUCUACAGAACCAUAUUGUUGGGUGACAUUGAAAGGGAACUUAGACUACUUCAUUAUAUAGUAUUCUAGUUGAUAAACUAAUUUAAAAGCUCUUUGCUCAAGCUGCUUUUAUACUUCUUUUUCUUGACAUCAGCUGCUUUUAUACUUUUUUUUUUGAAUUGAAUAUUGAAUUUAACUAAAAAAAAAGACCUUACAUCCAAGUGUUUUUGAAAGCUUAGAACAACAACAAUUUUUAAAUCUCUAUUCUUAAGCUUUUCUUCAAAACUUCAUACUAUGUCUCAAUCUUCACUUCAUAGAACUAUCUAGUUUCAAACCAAAAAGCCAUUCCCUCUCCAUACUCCUUAUCUCCCCUUCUUCUAAUCACUGUGAACUGGUUUCUCAUAUUUUUAUCAAGUCUCUUGAUCAUAACCUCUGCAGCUGCUUUUAUACUUAAAUGUGGUAAAAGCGUAAAACAUAUAGUGCGGUCAGUAUCUAUUGAUGAAUAUUAUACAAUGAAGACUGAAGUUACCAAACUUCACUUAACCCUAAAAAGUUACCUAGGUUACAACAGAAACUAUAUAUCUAUGCAAAUCUAACAUGUAUUUGAAAAUAAGUCUACGAGUCCCUGAAACUAUUCAACUUUCUUAAAAGUGGAGUAGUUGAUCUAAAUUAAAGUGUUAAUAGUCUCAAUAAAGCUUCCAGAAGCUUGCUGGUUUUCUCGUUAUUAAUUAGAUAUUUUCUGCUUUUAAAAGUAAAUCUGAAAAACAUAUAUUCAUGAACUAUAUCAGAUCAGCAACAUUUCAAAAUCUAUUCCUGAUAAAGGAAAUUGCGUCAAGAUAACAGAACCGGAUGAGUGAAAUUGAAAGGGAUCGGCUUAUAUAUACAAGUAACAUGUGAUGAGACGCUGAUUUAAAAACUUAAACUAUAGUUUAUAUACGUUUUCAAUAUUGUACGUGUGUAAACAAGAUAGAGUUAAAUGUGGCGUAAUC